rnacentral:rRNA from 1 species
GAUGAACGCUGGCGGCGUGCCUAAUACAUGCAAGUCGAGCGAACAGAUGAGGAGCUUGCUCCUCUGACGUUAGCGGCGGACGGGUGAGUAACACGUGGAUAACCUACCUAUAAGACUGGGAUAACUUCGGGAAACCGGAGCUAAUACCGGAUAAUAUAUUGAACCGCAUGGUUCAAUAGUGAAAGACGGUUUUGCUGUCACUUAUAGAUGGAUCCGCGCCGCAUUAGCUAGUUGGUAAGGUAACGGCUUACCAAGGCAACGAUGCGUAGCCGACCUGAGAGGGUGAUCGGCCACACUGGAACUGAGACACGGUCCAGACUCCUACGGGAGGCAGCAGUAGGGAAUCUUCCGCAAUGGGCGAAAGCCUGACGGAGCAACGCCGCGUGAGUGAUGAAGGUCUUCGGAUCGUAAAACUCUGUUAUUAGGGAAGAACAAAUGUGUAAGUAACUAUGCACGUCUUGACGGUACCUAAUCAGAAAGACACGGCUAACUACGUG